GCUUCCUUAGCGCAGCCGGCAGCGCGUUAGUCUCAUAAUCUGAAGGUCGCCAGUUCGAACCUGGCAGGGAGCA
rnacentral:tRNA from 1 species